GUGAGGAAUCUUCCACAAUGGGCGAAAGCCUGAUGGAGCAACGCCGCGUGAAGGAUGAAGGUCUUCGGAUUGUAAACUUCUUUUAUGAGUGAAGAAUAUGACGGUAACUCAUGAAUAAGCACCGGCUAACUACGUGCCAGCAGCCGCGGUCAUACGUAGGGUGCAAGCAUUAUCCGGAGUGACUGGGCGUAAAGAGUUGCGUAGGCGGUUAUGUAAGCGAAUAGUGAAACCUGGUGGCUCAACCACACAGACUAUUAUUCGAACUGCAUAACUAGAGCAUGGUAGAGGUAAAGGGAAGUUCUUGUGUGGGAGUGAAAUCCGUAGAUAUAAGAAGGAACACCAAUGGCGUAGGCAGGUUACUGGGCCAUUUCUGACGCUAAGGCACGAAAGCGUGGGGAGCGAACCGGAUUAGAAACCCCAGUAGUCC
rnacentral:rRNA from 1 species